UAAUAAAAUAAUUAUGUUUUUUAUAAUUUAUUAUAAAUUUAUUUUACAUAUAAAUUUUAGCAUAUAAUUUUAAUUAUUUUAAUAAUAAUUAAUUAUAUUAGUAGUAAUUAAUAUUAAAAAUUUAAGAAAUUAAGAUUUAGUAAUAUAAAAAUUAAUAACUAAUUUUGUGCCAGCAGUUGCGGUUAAACAAAAGUUAAAUUAAAUUAUUUCAGUUUAUAAUUAAUAAAUAAAAAUUAAAAUAAAUAUUAGAUUAUUAGGUGAAAUUUUAAUUUAAUUAAAUUUUAUUUAAAUUUUAUGAUUUAGUAAAUUUUAAUAUAAACUAGGAUUAGAUACCCUAUUAUUAAAAAUUUAAUUUAUAAUACUAAAAUAGUAAAUAAUAAUUUAUUGAAACUUAAAUAAUAUGGCGGUAUUUUAGUUCAUUUAGAGGAAUCUGUCUAAUAAUUGAUAAUCCACGAAUAAAUUUACUUAAUUUAUAAUUUUGUAUAUCAUUGUUAAAAAAAUAUUUUUUAGUAAAAAUAAUAUUUAAAAUUUAAUAAUAAAAAUUAAUUCAGAUCAAGAUGCAGAUUAUAAUUAAGAAUAUGAUGGAUUACAAUAAAUAUAUUUAAAUGAAUAAUUUUUUUGUAAUAAAAAUUUGAAGGUGGAUUUAAAUGUAAUUUUAAUUAAUUUAUUAAAAUGAUUAUAAAUUAAAAUAUGUACAUAUUGCCCGUCACUUUCAUUUAAAAAUUGAAAUAAGUCGUAACAAAGUAGAGGUACUGGAAAGUGUUUCUAGAAAGAU
rnacentral:ncRNA from 1 species